CUUGAGGGGGGAAUUUUCCGCAAUGGGCGAAAGCCUGAAGGAGCAAUACCGCGCAAGGGAGGAAGGCUCUUGGGUUGUAAACCUCUUUUCUCAGGGAAUAAGAACUGAAGGUACCUGAGGAAUCAGCAUCGGCUAACUCCGUGCCAGCAGCCGCGGUAAUACGGAGGAUGCAAGCGUUAUCCGGAAUGAUUGGGCGUAAAGCGUCCGCAGGUGGUUUAUCAAGUCUGCUGUCAAAGAGUUUGGCUCAACCAAAUAAAGGCAGUGGAAACUGACAGACUGGAGUGCGGUAAGGGCAGAGGGAAUUCCUGGUGUAGCGGUGAAAUGGGUAGAGAUCAGGAAGAACACCGGUGGCGAAAGCGCUCUGCUGGGCCGUAACUGACACUGAGGACCGAAGGCAC
rnacentral:rRNA from 1 species